rnacentral:rRNA from 1 species
CCUACGGGGCGCAGCAGGGGCGAAAACCUUACAAUGCGGGAAACCGUGAUAAGGGGACACCGAGUGUCAGCAUCAUAUGCUGGCUGUCCAGGUGUGUAAAAUACACCUGUUAGCAAGGGCCGGGCAAGACCGGUGCCAGCCGCCGCGGUAACACCGGCGGCCCGAGUGGUGAUCGUGAUUAUUGGGUCUAAAGGGUCCGUAGCCGGUUUGGUCAGUCCUCCGGGAAAUCUGAUAGCUCAACUAUUAGGCUAUCGGGGGAUACUGCCAGGCUUGGAACCGGGAGAGGUAAGAGGUACUACAGGGGUAGGAGUGAAAUCUUGUAAUCCCUGUGGGACCACCUGUGGCGAAGGCGUCUUACCAGAACGGGUUCGACGGUGAGGGACGAAAAGCUGGGGGGCACGAACCGGAUUAGAUACCCCGGGGUAGGCCCCGGCCGUAAACGAUGCUCGCUAGGGUGUCAGGCAUGGCGCGACCCGUGUCUGGGUGCCGCAGGAAGCCGUGAAGCSRRSCCACCUGGGRAAGWMSGGCCGMARGGYUGAAACUWAARGRAWUKGSSGGGGGAGC